rnacentral:rRNA from 1 species
GACGAACGCUGGCGGCGCGCCUAACACAUGCAAGUCGAACGGAGCGCCCAUGAAGGAGUUUUCGGACAACUGAUUGGGUUGCUUAGUGGCGGACGGGUGAGUAACGCGUGAGUAACCUGCCUUGGAGUGGGGAAUAACAGCUGGAAACAGCUGCUAAUACCGCAUGAUGCAGUUGAGUCGCAUGGCUCUGACUGCCAAAGAUUUAUCGCUGAUAGAUAGGCAUGCGUUCCAUUAGGCAGUUGGCGGGGUAACGGCCCACCAAACCGACGAUGGAUAGGGGUUCUGAGAGGAAGGUCCCCCACAUUGGUACUGAGACACGGACCAA